CCUACGGGGGGCUGCAGUGGGGAAUAUUGGACAAUGGGGGCAACCCUGAUCCAGCCAUGCCGCGUGUGUGAAGAAGGCCCUCGGGUUGUAAAGCACUUUCAGUGAGGAAGAACGCCUGGUGGUUAAUACCCAUCAGUAAAGACAUCACUCACAGAAGAAGCACCGGCUAACUCCGUGCCAGCAGCCGCGGUAAUACGGAGGGUGCGAGCGUUAAUCGGAAUUACUGGGCGUAAAGCGCGCGUAGGUGGCUUGAUAAGCCGGUUGUGAAAGCCCCGGGCUCAACCUGGGAACGGCAUCCGGAACUGUCAAGCUAGAGUGCAGGAGAGGAAGGUAGAAUUCCCGGUGUAGCGGUGAAAUGCGUAGAGAUCGGGAGGAAUACCAGUGGCGAAGGCGGCCUUCUGGACUGACACUGACACUGAGGUGCGAAAGCGUGGGUAGCAAACAGGAUUAGAUACCCUUGUAGUC
rnacentral:rRNA from 1 species